GGGGGCAUACUUAGUCGCAUCUCGUGAUCAUUUUGUGGGGCACUGCAAAUCUAUUCUAUUUCCCGAACCUGCACUGGUAGGAUAACUACAUCUAUGCUUGACUAAGCGAGUGGGAGGAGGAUUUGUUUGCUCUAUAGUGUUAAGUGUCCUAAAAACUAAGAUGGUAUUAAAAUAACAUGCCUCCAUAUGUGUAAUGUAUAUGUGCUGAAGGCGGGAUGUUGGUGUUUGUGCUGGAAGUGAUAUAUGUAACAAAAUCGGCCGAUAAUUAGGUAAUAAAUGAAAAUAAAUAUAAAAAAAACUAAUAUUUUUGUAUCAUAAAGUGUUAGGUACAUGUAUCAAUAGAGAGCAGCAUUUUGGUCGAAGGUUCAAUUAAGGUCAAAUCCUAUAAUCGGGUUAUAGCUGUGCCUUGCUUGACAUGUAGACUGUUGCAGGGAUAUAUAGAACAUGCAAGCACGCCCAUU